UCCGAUUUGAAUAUCGGCAGUCUCGCUAGAGUGCCCGGCCGAACCGCUGGCAACUAACGACAAGGGUUGCGCUCGUUGCGGGACUUAACCCAACAUCUCACGACACGAGCUGACGACAGCCAUGCAGCACCUGUGUUCCGAUUCCCUUUCGGGCACUCCCACCUCUCAGCAGGAUUCCGGACAUGUCAAGGGUAGGUAAGGUUGUUCGCGUUGCAUCGAAUUAAUCCACAUCAUCCACCGCUUGUGCGGGUCCCCGUCAAUUCCUUUGAGUUUUAACCUUGCGGUCGUACUCCCCAGGCGGGGUACUUCCUGCGUUAGCUACGGUACCAGGAGAUCGCUCCCCCAACACCCAGUGAUCAUCGUUUAGGGCGUGGACUAC
rnacentral:misc_RNA from 1 species